CCCUACUCAACGGCACUCUGUGCUUCCUGACACUCAGUAAACAAAAGUGAACACAUUAAUACUGACAUUUUUUUACCUUUGGAGAUGAGAAGGUCCAGCGUUUCCCUGCCAGGCCCAGGUACCAAAGCCUUAUGAUGUGGUGUCCAGAAUAAAGUGGAGGGUUCACUUCAUUUGUCCUUCCUGCUCCAAUCUCCUUCAUUUGACAGUCUUUUUUUAUCUUCUGACACUGUUUUCUAUCCUUGGCCCCUUCUGCUAUUUUACCUUUCUGCUUAUUUUGCACCCUUCUGCUCCUUUCUCAUUCUGAUCCCUUUCUGCUCCUUGCUGUCCCUUUCUGCUCCUUCUCCCACUUUACCUUUGUGCUCC
rnacentral:lncRNA from 1 species